AUGUGGGCGAUGGUGAUGAUGGAUCAAAACGUCCUAAUCACGCUGGUGUCUUCUCUCCUGAUGUUGAUCUUGGGGCCAUUGAUCAUAGAUGUCAUCCUGGUAAGCAAAAAGAUCUGGAGCUUCUUGCACACACUUACAAAAUACCUAGCGCAUGAUGACACCCUCGUCGUCGACUCUGUGGUGCUUGAUGAUAGCCCCGCAUCGCCGGCGAAAGUAACUGGCGGUGGAGGAUUAACAUCUCGUGACAUAGAAUUUGUCACGGCGAGGCUAGGUCUUACCGGCUGGAGGCUUGGUCUGACCGGGUGGAGGUACCAACGGUGUGAAGUAAUCGGUGUCGUAAAUGAGUUUAUGGACGGUAAGCAAGCGAGCGAGAGCGAGCUGGAGGAGGCCUUCUACGUUUUUGACCGUAACGAGGAUGGGUUCAUAUGCGCCGGGGAGUUGUGGAAUGUGAUGAGGAGGCUAGGGUGGAAAGAAGGGGCGAUGUAUGAGGACUGUGUGAGGAUGAUCCGCACCUUCGAUGAGGAUGGAGAUGGGAAGAUCAACUUCCUAGAGUUUAGAAGGAUGAUGGAGAAUGCCGUUUAA
rnacentral:rRNA from 1 species